UUAGGCUGAUUUUGGAUUAUUUGUCUGUGAAGACACAGUAGUUCAGUUUCUGAAUCCCAUCAAGAAUGAAGACCUGCAGGCCACCAUAUUGAGCUGGUCUGAUGUCAUGAUAUGGCGCUUUUCCAAUGUAGGGUACAACUUGGCUCGGCACGAUGCAGCUCAGCUCGCUUUCGUUGCUUUUCCAGUACAGUUUAGUAUCGCUUCAGAGUGGGUGAGAUUAUAGGCAGGGGUGCACAUAAGGGUGUGUAUGCGCGAUUAGAAACAAUUCCAGCGUACCAACGUCGCUGGAAUUUUGUUACAUAGUUAGCUAAUUUACUGCGACAUCUCGAUCACUCCCCAGUGACUGGUCCCAGUAUAGGUCAUAAACCCCGCCUCCCCCAUGUUAUUCAAUGGGACUUGAGACCUGUUAGAUACAAAAUAAACUUCAGUAUGUAAAACGUUUUCUCUUUAUUUAUCCACCGAUAACAUCCGCUCCAACACGAGCACUAAAACAACAACCGGCUUUCCGCCCGGGCUUCAUAAUAAGAGUCACCUUUUAGCUUCCGUAAAAGGUCAUGUGAAAUAAUAAACAAUAUUUAGCAUAAAGCUAUAAUAUACAUAAACACAUUUUUAAUGUCUUAAACUUAACAAGACCAACUAAACAAUUAAAUUACACUUCAAUUAUCUUUUUUCCGAAGCUUGUUUUUGUCAUUUACUGUAGGUUUUAUCAUGCUGAUGUAAAUUCAAGUGUUUGUUUUUAAAAUAAGUUUGUUUUUAGUUAGUUAGUUAAUGCUAUAAAAACGGUGGUGUCACGUCAUGAUUGACAGCUGUGUAUGCACAUUCUGGGAGAGUGAGGGCGGGGCCUUGAUUUCGCGGCUUUACUUCCUGCUCACUACUGCACAGGACUGGUCCCGAAAUUGCUACUGCGCAGACUCAAAACCCAAGAUGUCAGCGGCGACACUGGCGGCUUCACUUUUCACCAAUGGAAGAGAGCAAGCUCUCCAGGUGCUCCUUUUAGAACUAGGACAAAAAAAAGUUAUGUGCACCCCUGAUUAUAGGCUUAUUGUUACAGUUGCGUCCCCUCUACUGCCGUAACAUCAUCGUAAAUGCGAUACAAACACACACACACACAACAUGGAGCAACAGAGCAUAUUAAUGGAAUGUAGCCACAAAAUCAAAAUUGACAGCCACAACUACAUUUUCCACUACCUCUCUCACAUGACAGGUUCUGUACAAACACCCAUGUCAUCAGUACCUGCACUAUGCGGACAGAACAUUUAAGCCAUGACGCCUAUAUUUUUGGUGCGUUUUGGAUGCGGAGCUAUGCGCAAAGUUACAAAAAUGCCAUGCAGACAUAGGCAUGGUGGUGUGCUCUGCAUUUUUGUAACUUUACACAUGACUUCACAUCGGAAACCCAUUACUCCUCACCCAAAAGUGAGCUGUGCUGAACUGGGUCAUACUAUGGAGUGGAAAGGCGCCAAAAGUGUCCUACUUCGUGGCUUGAAGGAUUUAGCAGUUUCAGCGUUGG